rnacentral:rRNA from 1 species
CCUACGGGGGGCAGCAGUGGGGAAUAUUGGGCAAUGGGCGCAAGCCUGACCCAGCAACGCCGCGUGAAGGAUGAAGGUUUUCGGAUUGUAAACUUCUGUCGCGAGGGACGAAGAAUGACGGUACUUCGUAAGAAAGCCCCGGCUAACUACGUGCCAGCAGCCGCGGUAAUACGGAGGGGGCACGCGUUGUCCGGAAUGACUGGGGUUAAGGGGAGUGUAGGCGGCUUUUUAAGUUAGAUGUGAAAUCAUACGGCUAAACCGUAGAAGUGCAUCUAAAACUGGGAUGAUUGAGUACAGGAGAGGUAGGAGGAAUUCGUGGUGUAGGGGUGAAAUGCUUAGAUAUGAGGAAGAACACCGAGGG